GACGAAGGUGGCGAGCGUUGUUCGGAAUCACUGGGCUUAAAGCGCAUGUAGGCGGAUGAGUAAGCGUUUUGUGAAAUCCCCCGGCUUAACCGGGGAAUUGCUUGGCGAACUGCUCAUCUUGAGGCAAGUAGGGGUGCAUGGAACUCUUGGUGGAGCGGUGGAAUGCGUAGAUAUCAAGAGGAACGCCAGCGGAGAAAUCGGUGCACUGGACUUGUCCUGACGCUCAGAUGAGAAAGCGUGGGGAGCGAACGGG
rnacentral:rRNA from 1 species